rnacentral:ncRNA from 1 species
GUAUAGGCAUUGAGAGGAUCUUAGUAGUUUUUAUCUCCCUAUUUUUCAGAGAGCCAGUGGACGGUGUGAACUGGUAUAUAGAUAAAAGUGAAUUACAUUCCUUGAGCUUUCUUUGUGUAGCAGCAAAGAGCGGUGAGUAGCCGUUAAAAAAUGAAGUGGAAGAGAACAGCUCUCUUCAACAAGGGUGGUAACGCGUGUAAGAACCACGUCCCUUAU